AGUUCCUUCUGAAAAAUUUGAUAACAUUGAAACGAUACAGAGAAGUUCAGCAUGGGCCCUGUACGAGGGUGACAUGCACAAACCGAGAAAUGGUGCAAAUUCAU